CAGUAAUGUAUGUUGGCAAUGAUCUGGCUUCAUGGAUUUGCCUGGACAAGCCUGCUAAACAUCUUCAUCGUAAAAUUCUGACAUUAUAAUUUUUCUUACCAGAGAGGCACUAUUUCUGCUUGAUGGUGAAUGGCUGGUAUGGAGGUAAACCUGCUCAGAUACUUGUUGACACCUGCAACUGGGUCUUCCUUGAUGUGGGAGACAUGGCACGGAUGCAUGCAGACCCAAACAAGGGUUUUAAAGAAGAAUUCUCAAGAUCCGUUGUCUUCGAUGUCAAGAAACAAAAAAGCUAUUCUGAACAAUUGCCUUUCUCCAAAUCCUAUAGCAAAAAUCUCACCUAGGAUGAAGCCUGUGGUUAUUUUAGAUGGUUUAUAAAAACUUAUUGCUAAACUGAACAGCAGGGAUUGCUUGAAUUUAGGCUUUUAAAAUAAAAGUUGUUUUAAUGUG